rnacentral:rRNA from 1 species
GAUGAACGCUGGCGGCGUGCUUAACACAUGCAAGUCGAACGGGAAAUAUUUCAUUGAGCCUUCGGUGGAUUUGAUUUAUUUCUAGUGGCGGACGGGUGAUUAACGCGUGGGUAACCUGCCUUAUACAGGGGGAUAACAGUCAGAAAUGGCUGCUAAUACCGCAUAAGCGCACAGAGCUGCAUGACUCAGUGUGAAUAACUCCGGUGGUAUAAGAUGGACCCGCGUUGGAUUAGCUAGUUGGUGGGGGAACGCCACACCACGGCGACGAUCCAUAGCCGGCCUGAGAGGGUGAGCGGACACAUUGGGACUGAGACACGGCCCAGAAUCCUACGGGAGGCAGGAGUGGGGAAUAGUGCACCAUGGGGGAAACCAUGAUGCAGCGACGCCGCGUGAAGGAAGAAGUAUCUCGGUAUGUAAACUUCUAUCAGCAGGGAAGGUAGUGACGGUACCUGACUAAGAAGCCCCGGCUAACUACGUG